rnacentral:rRNA from 1 species
UACGUAGGCGGAAGAUUAAGUCAGUGGUGAAAUCCUGCAGCUUAACUGUAGAACUGUCAUUGAUACUGGUUUUCUUGAAUUUAGUUGAGGUAGGCGGAAUGUGUAAUGUAGCGGUGAAAUGCUUAGAUAUUACACAGAACACCGAUUGCGAAGGCAGCUUACUAAACUAUGAUUGACGCUGAGGUACGAAAGCGUGGGGAGCGAACAGGAUUAGAUACCAUGGUAGUCC